GUCGGAACAAGUACCGCUCUCUAAGUCUAUUUGGACGGUUAGCCAGGCCGUUCAGACUUCCAGGAUUCAUUUCCAGUCACUUACACGAGUAAAACCGUGCCUGUACCAGUGCCCGCUCCUUGACCGGCUCAUUUUCCUGUACAUAUACCACAUCCAAACCGACGCCUGUCCCUACGCUUCCCAUCACACCAUAAGAUUAAGGUGACUUUCUGCCGUCCUGCUACAGUAAGGGGCACGAUGGUGACAUCAUGCUGCAGAAGGUGUACACCGGCCAUCAUCAUGGGCUCAGACUGCUAUGACUAUUUCUCCCAGUAAAUAAUAUUGUUUAUUUAUGUUACCUAAAUAAACCCACUUGAUACGCAAAUAAAACCACUAAAAUAAA